CAGUCGCCGCGGGAAUACGAAGGGGGCUAGCGUUGCUCGGAAUGACUGGGCGUAAAGGGCGCGUAGGCGGCUUGUACAGUCAGAUGUGAAAUUCCUGGGCUUAACCUGGGGGCUGCAUUUGAUACGUGCGGGCUAGAAUGUGAAAGAGGGUCGUGGAAUUCCCAGUGUAGAGGUGAAAUUCGUAGAUAUUGGGAAGAACACCGGUGGCGAAGGCAGCCCCCUGGGCCAAUACUGACGCUCAUGCACGAAAGCGUGGGGAGCAAACAGGAUUAGAUACCCCAGUAGUCCCUGUCUCUUAUAC
rnacentral:rRNA from 1 species